rnacentral:sRNA from 1 species
GUGUUUUUCAUAGUAUUAGAUAUAAGAUUAAUUAAAAGGACGUACCCGCUUGUGAUAAGUAAGUACAUCAAAAACAGAAGCGUCUGUUUGAUUGAUAAAUGUGUAAGGAGCAUCGGUUUACCAGAGCCGAUGCUUUUUUU